GAUGAACGCUGGCGGCGCGCCUAACACAUGCAAGUCGAACGAUUAAAGCACCUUCGGGUGUGUAUAAAGUGGCGAACGGCUGAGUAACACGUGGGCAACCUGCCCCUUUCAUUGGGAUAGCCACGGGAAACCGUGGAUAAUACCGAAUACUUCGAGACUUCCGCAUGGAAGACUCGAGAAAGCUCCGGCGGAGAGGGAUGGGCCCGCGGCCUGUUAGCUUGUUGGUGGGGUAACGGCCUACCAAGGCAAUGAUGGGUAGCUGGGUUGAGAGACCGACCAGCCAGAUUGGGACUGAGACACGGCCCCGACUCCUACGGGAGGCAGCAGUGGGGAAUCUUGCACAAUGGGCGAGAGCCUGAUGCAGCGACGCCGCGUGCGGGAUGAAGGCCUUCGGGUUGUAAACCGCUUUCAGCAGGGACGAGGCGAAAGUGACGGUACCUGCAGAAGAAGCCCCGGCUAACUACGUG
rnacentral:rRNA from 1 species